rnacentral:misc_RNA from 1 species
GAUGAAGAACGUAGCGAAAUGCGAUAAGUAAUGUGAAUUGCAGAAUUCAGUGAAUCAUCGAAUCUUUGAACGCACAUUGCGCCCGCCAGUAUUCUGGCGGGCAUGCCUGUUCGAGCGUCAUUACAACCCUCAGGCCCCCGGGCCUGGCGUUGGGGAUCGGCGGAGCCCCCCGUGGGCACACGCCGUCCCCCAAAUGCAGUGGCGGUCCCGCCGCAGCUUCCAUCGCGUAGUAGCUAACACCUCGCGACUGGAGAGCGGCGCGGCCACGCCGUAAAACACCCAACUCUUCUGAAGUUUACCUCGAAUCAGGUAGGAAUACCCGCUGAACUUAAGCAUAUCAAUAGCGGAGGA